rnacentral:rRNA from 1 species
UACGUAGGGACCGAGCGUUGUCCGGAAUCAUUGGGCGUAAAGAGCGUGUAGGCGGCCACUUAAGUCCUGCGUGAAAUCUUGCGGCUCAACCGCAAGCGGUCGUGGGAAACUGGGUGGCUAGAGUGCGGGAGAGGAGAGUGGAAUUCCUGGUGUAGCGGUGGAAUGCGCAGAUAUCAGGAAGAACACCAGUGGCGAAGGCGGCCCGCUGGGCAGUGGCUGACGCUGAGGCGCGACAGCGUGGGGAGCAAACAGG